rnacentral:rRNA from 1 species
GUUGUCCGGAUUUAUUGGGCGUAAAGAGCGUGUAGGCGGCCAGGUAGGUCCGUUGUGAAAACUCGAGGCUCAACCUCGAGACGCCGAUGGAAACCAUCUGGCUAGAGUCCGGAAGAGGAGAGUGGAAUUCCUGGUGUAGCGGUGAAAUGCGCAGAUAUCAGGAAGAACACCCGUGGCUAAGGCGGCUCUCUAGUACGGUACUGACGCUGAGACGCGAAAGCGUGGGGAGCGAACAGG